rnacentral:rRNA from 1 species
GGAUGAGCCCGCGGCCUAUCAGCUUGUUGGUGGGGUAAUGGCCUACCAAGGCGACGACGGGUAGCCGGCCUGAGAGGGCGACCGGCCACACUGGGACUGAGACACGGCCCGGACUCCUACGGGAGGCAGCAGUGGGGAAUAUUGCACAAUGGGCGGAAGCCUGAUGCAGCGACGCCGCGUGAGGGAUGACGGCCUUCGGGUUGUAAACCUCUUUCAGCAGGGACGAAGCGCAAGUGACGGUACCUGCAGAAGAAGCACCGGCUAACUACGUGCCAGCAGCCGCGGCCG